CUUUUUAAACUGCGAUGCCAUUUACUUGAAUUAUAACUGGAUGAAAUCAAAAUUGAAAAACAGUUUGGCACUUGCAAAAAAUCACAGCAGAGAUAUUUAUGAUAUUUAUGUAGGACUUGAUAUUUGGGGAAGAGGUUGUCCUGGCGGUGGUGGAUUUAAUUCAUCAUAUGCUUUACAAAAAAUACGACACGAAGGACUUUCUGUUGCACUUUUUGGUCCAGGUUGGACUCACGAAUUUUUCGGAUCUAAGACAUUCCAAGAAGUAGAAGAUCUAUUUUGGGCACAGUUGUUUCCUUAUUUAUACGUUCAUGUAUCUAUCUAGGAAGAAGAAGUAUUCAAAACAUCAUUUUGCCGUGGCAGUGGUAGCAUGUAUUAUCGCUGUGGUCAGGCACUAUAUGAAAGGGAUGGAAAAAGAUUUAAACACAAACCAUUUUACAAUUUAUCCCUGCAAAAUCCACAAAUUUCAGUACCUAUACCGCACAUGAAAUUUACAUCAUCGCCUCAACUUCCAGAACCGAAAAGUGAAAACGAUCGAAGUGAGUGUUCAAAAGAACCGAUACAAUAUGUUUAUGAAACGAGGAAGAAUGUUGUUCGAGUAUUAAAAAAUGUUGUAAAUAUUGAAAAUAAAAUGCCAAUGCUAUAUGUAAAUAGCUUCGAAUUUUGCAGCGAGUUCUCUUUCAGAGGUGGUGGUUGCAUAGAAUUAACUACAAAUGAUCUUACAACUAGGUCAUA